rnacentral:rRNA from 1 species
UACGAAGGGGGCGAGCGUUGUUCGGAUUUACUGGGCGUAAAGGGCGCGCAGGCGGCCGCAUUUGUCAGGCGUGAAAGCCCCGGGCUUAACCUGGGAACUGCGUUUGAUACGGUGUGGCUAGAGUUCGGGAGAGGAGAGUGGAAUUCCCAGUGUAGAGGUGAAAUUCGUAGAUAUUGGGAGGAACAUCAGUUGCGAAGGCGGCUCUCUGGACCAGCACUGACACUGAGGCACGAAAGCGUGGGGAGCAAACAGG